UCCGAGUUGACCCCGGCAGUCUUCUACGAGUCCCCGGCAUUACCCGCUGGCAACAUAGAAUAAGGGUUGCGCUCGUUGCGGGACUUAACCCAACAUCUCACGACACGAGCUGACGACAGCCAUGCACCACCUGUGAAGGUGCCCCGAAGGGAAGACGUGUUUCCACGCCGGUCACCCACAUGUCAAGCCCAGGUAAGGUUCUUCGCGUUGCGUCGAAUUAAACCACAUGCUCCGCUGCUUGUGCGGGCCCCCGUCAAUUCCUUUGAGUUUCAAUCUUGCGAUCGUACUCCCCAGGUGGAAUACUUAAUGCGUUAGCUGCGACACUGAGUUUGACCCCAACGUCUAGUAUUCAUCGUUUAAGGCGUGGACUAC
rnacentral:misc_RNA from 1 species